rnacentral:other from 1 species
GUUCCAAUAAGAACUAAAAUAGAAUUGAAAG